rnacentral:rRNA from 1 species
UACGUAGGGGGCAAGCGUUGUCCGGAAUCAUUGGGCGUAAAGCGCGUGUAGGCGGCCAGAAAAGUCCGCUGUGAAAACUCGAGGCUCAACUUCGAGCUGUCGGUGGAAACUUUCUGGCUAGAGUCCGGAAGAGGAGAAUGGAAUUCCUGGUGUAGCGGUGAAAUGCGCAGAUAUCAGGAAGAACACCCGUGGCGAAGGCGGUUCUCUGGAACGGUACUGACGCUGAGACGCGAAAGCGUGGGGAGCGAACAGG